GGCGAAUAUUCCAUCAAAUUGGAGGUGGCCCCUGCUGAUCAGACAGACAAAGGUACUUAUCAACUAACAGUCAAAAAUGAGAAAGGCGAAGUAACAUCGGAAACUGUAGAAGUGACGGAAAUCGUAGAAGAAAAGCAGGAGAAAAAAGAGCCACAGAAACCAGAAGAAAAACCACAAAUUCUUCAAAAACUUCGCUCAAUAGUCAUAACAGAGAACAAGCCGGCAGAAUUUGAAUGCAGCUUGGUUAAAGUUGACAAGGAAGUAACUGUCACUUGGUACAAAAAUGCCAAAGAACUGAAGGCAACCAAAGAAUACAUCCAAACCUUUAAUGGAAAGACUGCACGGCUGAAAAUUUUUUCGGCUACUCCUGACACUGCUGGAAUGUACAAAGUUAUUUUCAAAAAUUCAGCUGGUAGUGACGAAUCAUCAGCUGAACUCAAAACAGAAAAACGCACGUGGAGCGAUGAUGAGGAAGAAGAAGAAGAAGUUUCGGAGCAAAAGUCAGUCGAGGAGAAACAAGAAAGAAAGCAAAGUGUCUCUACUAAGAAGGAAGAAACUGAAGAGUCUGAAAAACGAUCGGUGAGAAGAAAGUCAUCCGUCAAACAGAUAGAGGAAAUCGUUGAAACUCAGGAGAGGCUGACAACUAGACGCAGGUCCUCAGUCAAACAGUUUGAAACACAAUUUGAGGAAAAUGAAGACAGUAAGUCAGGAACACAAUCUCGCAGAACAUCGACAACAGUCAAGGAACCAGAAGUUAACAAUGUAGCGGAGAAAACUACAGAUAAGCUGAAAACAGACACCAAACCCAAAGAACCUGAAAAGAAGGCCAAGAAACCCGAAAGUGAAAAACCUCAGGAGCCUGAGAAGAAACCGAGCCUUAAAAAAGUGGAGGCUAAAGAACCUGAAAAACCUAAAGAGGCUGAGAAAAAACCCGUUGAUGGUAUCAAGAAACCGGAGCUCGAGAAGCCCAAAGAACCAGAAAAGAGACCGAGCCUGAAAAAGUUGAGCCUAAAGAGCCAGAAAAGAUACCAACCUUGA
rnacentral:lncRNA from 1 species